rnacentral:misc_RNA from 1 species
UUAAGUUCAGCGGGUAAUCCCGCCUGAUUUCAGAUCAAAGGUAAAGGGUUAGUUGCAACUUUCGGCAGACCGGCCCCACUCUUUCUAAAAGUACAUUUAUCAAGUGCGGGAGACCAUUUGGCCCACCAUUGCAACAGUAAUUCCAGCCGAGACAAUCCCCCUGAUGGGAGACCGCUGGGCCACCGGUUAUGCUCUUUCCC